rnacentral:rRNA from 1 species
AUUGAACGCUGGCGGCAGGCUUAACACAUGCAAGUCGAGCGAGCGGCGGACGGGUGAGUAAUGUCUGGGAAACUGCCUGAUGGAGGGGGAUAACUACUGGAACCUGUAGCUAAUACCGCAUACCAUCAGAUGUGCCCAGAUGGGAUUGGCUAUUUGGUGGGGUAACGGCUCACCAAGGCGACGAACCCUAGCUGGUCUGAGAGGAUGACCAGACACAAUGGAACUGAGACACUGCCCAGACUCCUACGGGAGGAAGGAGUGGGGAAUAUGGCACAAUGGGCGCAAGCCUGAUGCAGACAUGCCGCGUGUAUGAAGAAGGCCUUGGGGUUGUAAAGUACUUUCAGCGGGGAGGCGUUACCCGCAGAAGAAGCACCGGCUAACUCCGUGCCAGCAGCCGCGGUAAUUC